rnacentral:rRNA from 1 species
GCCUAAUACAUGCAAGUCGAGCGAACAGACGAGGAGCUUGCUCCUCUGACGUUAGCGGCGGACGGGUGAGUAACACGUGGGUAACCUACCUAUAAGACUGGGAUAACUCCGGGAAACCGGGGCUAAUACCGGAUAAUACAUGAAACCGCAUGGUUUCAUGAUGAAAGACGGUUUUGCUGUCACUUAUAGAUGGACCCGCGGCGUAUUAGCUAGUUGGUAAGGUAACGGCUUACCAAGGCAACGAUACGUAGCCGACCUGAGAGGGUGAUCGGCCACACUGGAACUGAGACACGGUCCAGACUCCUACGGGAGGCAGCAGUAGGGAAACUUCCGCAAUGGGCGAAAGCCUGACGGAGCAACGCCGCGUGAGUGAUGAAGGUCUUCGGAUCGUAAAACUCUGUUAUUAGGGAAGAACAAGGAUGUAAGUAACUGUGCAUCCCUUGACGGUACCUAAUCAGAAAGCCACGGCUAACUACGUGCCAGCAGCCGCGGUAAUACGUAGGUGGCAAGCGUUAUCCGGAAUUACUUGGGCGUAAAGCGCGCGUAGGCGGUUUUUUAAGUCUGAUGUGAAAGCCCACGGCUCAACCGUGGAGGGUCAUUGGAAACUGGAAAACUCGAGUGCAGAAGAGGAAAGUGGAAUUCCAUGUGUAGCGGUGAAAUGCGCAGAGAUAUGGAGGAACACCAGUGGCGAAGGC